GAGGGGCAGCAUGUCCCGUAGCAAUACGGGAUGAUGGCGACCGGCAAACGGGUGCGGAACACGUACAGAACCUUCCUUCGAGCGGGGAAUAGCCCGGAGAAAUCCGGAUUAAUACCCCAUAGUAUGGUGAAGAGGCAUCUCUUUACUAUUAAAGAUUUAUCACUUGAAGAUGGCUGUGCGGCUGAUUAGGUAGUUGGCGGGGUAACGGCCCACCAAGCCUGCGAUCAGUAACUGGUGUGAGAGCACGACCAGUCACACGGGCACUGAGACACGGGCCCGACUCCUACGGGAGGCAGCAGUAAGGAAUAUUGGUCAAUGGACGAAAGUCUGAACCAGCCAUGCCGCGUGGAGGAUGAAGGUCCUCUGGAUUGUAAACUUCUUUUAUAUGGGACGAAAAAAGGCCUUUUCAGGUCGUCUGACGGUACCAUAUGAAUAAGCACCGGCUAACUCCGUGCCAGCAGCCGCGGUAAUACGGAGGGUGCAAGCGUUAUCCGGAUUCACUGGGUUUAAAGGGUGCGUAGGUGGGUUGAUAAGUCAGUGGUGAAAUCCCCGAGCUUAACUUGGGAACUGCCAUUGAUACUAUUGAUCUUGAAUACCGUGGAGGUCAGCGGAAUAUGUCAUGUAGCGGUGAAAUGCUUAGAUAUGACAUAGAACACCAAUUGCGAAGGCAGCUGGCUACGCGAAUAUUGACACUGAUGCACGAAAGCGUGGGGAUCAAACAGGAUUAGAUACCCUGGUAGUCCACGCCCUAAACUAUGGAUACUCGACAUCAGCGAUACACUGUUGGUGUCUGAGCGAAAGCAUUAAGUA
rnacentral:rRNA from 1 species